GAAAACCCUAGUAUAUGAUAUUAAUUGGGACAAGUUUGGGCCAAUGGAAAGGUGGUGACGGCUGACUCAUUUUCACUCACCAAAAUUGGAAAAAACAAAGAAAAUAAAGGGAAAAAUGAAGAAACAAAAAGCAAAAAUAUUUCUUUCUUCCUUGUAAGUUCCUUCACUCUCUCACCCAUGAUCUCUUCUCUCACAUACAACUUCAUCCACCACCCACACCCAUCCUCAUCUCCC
rnacentral:lncRNA from 1 species